rnacentral:lncRNA from 1 species
CAGCUCAUCUCCUCCAUGUUGAUUCUCCCAUAUCCAGCUUCUACUCCACGUUCCGGAUUAGAUCACGAUCUCCCAGCACUCCGAAUCACCUCCCCUGUUCCGCGUCCAAGACAAGCAUUCCAUCCGCGUGUCUUCUCUCCCGUCCGCGAUUCAAGGAUGAUCUCCCAGCCAUUUCCUUCUUUCCAUGAGCCAAUCCAUAUCUUUUCCAACUCAUCCCAUUGAGAUCUUCUUCAGCCCGAAUUAGCUCCAAUUUCAGCGGUCUGCAAGGUGUCCACGAGUCCCAACUUCUUCCCGUUCGCAAUGGCUCUGCAUCCUUAUCUCUUCUUCGGAACAGAAUCCCAGCAUCCCGAGAUUC